rnacentral:rRNA from 1 species
UACAUAGGUCCCAAGCGUUGUUCGGAUUCACUGGGCGUAAAGGGUGCGUAGGUGGCCAGGUAAGUUUGGUGUGAAAGCUCGGAGCUUAACUCCGAAAAGUCAUUGAAUACUAUCUGGCUGGAGGGUCGGAGGGGAGACUGGAAUUCUCGGUGUAGCAGUGAAAUGCGUAGAUAUCGAGAGGAACACCAGUGGCGAAGGCGAGUCUCUGGACGACUCCUGACACUGAGGCACGAAAGCUAGGGGAGCAAACAGG